rnacentral:misc_RNA from 1 species
GGAGUCAACUCAACCCCACUGACACAAAAACAGCAGGUAACUAGCAAUCAACCUUGGCUGGGACAAACCCUCAGCGUCAAAACGUAAGAGCUUCAAAGCCUGGGAAGGAUGAGCUCAGUUAGCGAGACCAUCAGCCACCGUGUUACCUUUGCUUCCCUAUAGACAUUCUAGGGGCCCCGUCGUCUGUCUUUAAUUUGAUGGAGGCUUCCAAGCAACACAAAUCAACCUCUUGCUUAGCAAA